GACGAACGCUGGCGGCGUGCCUAAUACAUGCAAGUCGAACGCAGGGGGGAUGGGUGAGUAACACGUGGGUAACCUCCCAUCAGAGGGGAUAACACUUGGAAAAAGGUGCUAAACCGAUACUGAUGGAUGGGCCUGUGGUGCAUUAGCCAGUUGGUGGGGUAAAGGCACACCUAGGCGACGAUCACUAGCGGUGCUGAGAGGAGGAGCAGCCACACUGGAACGGAGACACGGCCCAGACUCCUACGGGAGGCAGCAGUGGGGAAUUUUGGACAAUGGGCGCAAUCCUGAUGCAGCCAUGCCGCGUGUAUGAAGAAGGCCUUAGGGUUGUAAAGUACUUUCAGCGGGGAGGCGUUACCCGAAGAAGAAGCACCGGCUAACUCCGUGCCAGCCGCCGCGGUAAUUC
rnacentral:rRNA from 1 species